UAGGGGUGUCCCCGCUACACGUGAACCCUUUCCCUUAACAAUCUUAACUCCAGGGUCGUCCCCAUACCCGGUCCGGUAUGAGUGCCAAGACAUUAAACCUCAAUACCACGUCCGGUAUGAGGGUGAAGCGGGUCGUCCCCAUACUCUGUCCUGUAUGAGCGUCAAAUGACCAAGUCUCCAUACCUCGUCCGGUAUGAGACAACGUUCACGGUAGGGUUCCCUAUGAACCUGGUCCGUCCACCAUCUCUCAAGAUAUCUAGUGAGGCUGU
rnacentral:lncRNA from 1 species